ACACUGGCCUCGAGUGUGACCCAGUGUGACCGAUGGUGACGCUGCGAUCUUCACUCGUGUGACGUCUGCUACACGGCUGCAGCUCUUGCGACGUCGUUACCAAUGUCGUUACUCUGUAAUAUUGAAUCACCGCUAUUCCUUCCUCUUCAGCCAAAGAACAUCAUGCAUACUCAAGGGCAAAUUUCCAAGUAUCGGAAGACGAUAUCAAGGCCUCGAAGACAGCAGGUGCUGCUUCUGAAUGGGAGCAUGAAUAGGACUACGCUCAAGCUGACGACGACCGGGGGGCGGGGGAUGUACUGACAUAGGAACACCACACACAGCCCCCAAGCCAAUGCCAUUGGUCACCCAUAACUGUACAACCACAGCCCUUGAAAGCCUGUACAAGACAUCCACAGAGCCUGCUGCAGUCACUGGCCGCAGUAUUAUGUGAAAGACAGCCUACUUUUGGCAGCAAGCAGGCUGAGUAAUUUCUUGGCCACAAAAAGGCAUUUCUGGUUGUAAAAGAUAUGGCUGAAGCCAUACAGGGCCGUGAAGUGCUGGCAGAGCAAACUUAUGGGGGAAAACUACCCCCAAAAGACUACAAAAACCCCACAGCUGUAGUAAGGAAGAAGGUGAGCCCACAGAAGGUUGCCAUGAUUAUUGAGACGGAACUACUUUGAGAAGAAGGCAAUGAAGCUUGAUUCUAUUAACAACAAGAACCGAGUGCCAUAAGGGGCAGAAAGUUGUCACUUUAAGUUGGCUCUCCUUUUUUGCCACUGUGGAAUCUUUUGGGAUUCUACUGUUCUGGUGCAUAUGCCGCCUAAGUUGCAGUCAUCCUCUGCUGCAAAAUUUUUUCCAUUUAGUUUAUUAUUUUGGUGCAACAAAGUGGAGGUUAAUCUAUAGUUAAUCUAUGGUUAAUCUAGGUUAAUUAUAUAUGAAAAUAAUAAGGUUGCUUUAAAUAGUUCAUUGAUGACUAAUGCAAUAUCCCUUUGCCCUCGUUCUAUUGCACUUACUUUUGCUGCAAUGACUGAACUGUUAUUAUCAUGAUAUAUAAAUUUGUUCAUCAUCCAUGGUAAUUCGAAAAAAAAAAAAAGAAAAAUGCAAACUCUAAGCUGUCUGAUUUCUUGUUUCCAAUCACAACACCUGUUAGCUCCUGUAGUAAUAUGUAGUGUCCCAUUUUGUUACAUAUAGAUUUAAUGUGUUCACUUGCGGUUUUAAUAAGUGAAUGUAUUGAGACUUGCUUUAGCUUUCUUUGGUGUGGACUUACUGUGUGCUGUUUAUGCAAGUCUUUCAAUGUGCUGCUUAUGUUACAUUUGCAUGCGCACAUUUAGUGACCCCUUAUGAUUAUGAUGACUUGUUCAAGUGUUGGACCGACUGUCAGUAUAAUCUUGUUCAUGCAUCUAAGAAUUAACUUUAAAGCACCAGCUUCUAGUGCUUUGUUUUGAAGUUAAAUUGCCUUUAGUAAUUAGUGUGUGCCUUUAGCAUUUUUCAUGCUGUGAAAUGUUUCACAUUAUGCGGUGCUUAUGCUUACAGUUGUGUCGAUUGCUUUCCUUGCAAUACCAGUAACGACGGAAAGUAUUAUGGCAUGUCGACUUCAGCUCUGAGCUUUAAGCCUGUCUUUUUGACAAAUGAGUGUAACUGUACUGGUAACAUAGCUAUACGUCUUUUACAGCAUCAUCUGUUGAGAUCUCAUCCAUGCGUUGCUGCAUCCUACUUAAGUUCACUCAGAUGGAUGCAUGUAAUCUUCAGUGACAUCCUACUCAGGGCAUUCGUGGAGGUUAUGUUUGUAACCAUAUUUACAAAGAAUCCUCAUAGGCAGGACAGUGGAGGUAUCAAGGUAUAACGAACGCGGUUAUAACAAAGUAAAUCAAAAAUUUGUCUCGCCAAUAUCCGCAUGUGAUGAAUAUAUGCUUAUGACAAAUAUCCGAUGUAAUGAAGAUAUUUUCAUGUUGGAUGCAACUUUGUAAUAACAAAGUUCGACUGUAGUAAGUAGACUCAGUGCAGAUAAAAGCAUUAAAGAUCACCGAUACUAGUGAGCUCCUAAAAGAGUGUCAGGUUAAAUCAAAAAGACUGUACCUAAUUUGCAAAGUUGCAAUAAACUUUGGUAGGAUGGCAGUCGGCUGAGAGCGCUGUUAAAGUUUCUAAUGGUGUUCAUGUUGAUGACUAAGGAUCAGCUAGAGAUUGCAGACAUUUAUUGUUUCACACUUGACAGUCUAUGCUGUUCUUGAUAUAUGCCUACUGUGUGCAUGAAUCUACAGUAUAGACCACUUAUAACAUAACUGCUUAUAGUGCAGGACCGGAUAUAGUACGGUCUUUUCAGACUCCCGUUAAUUUUCCCAUAGCACUCCAUGUAUACGCAUACCGCUUACAGUGCAGCCGCGCAACACCAAACACAGGUUAUAAUGCGGCUUCCGCGGGAAAAUCUCGCCGACAAGGGCGGCAGCGAGCACUCUUCUCAAUGAGGUGCGCCCACCGAUGGGAGAGGAGUUCAACGAGGGCGAUGCAGAGGAGGAGCAUGAGACGUGGAGCAUGAGUCCAAGGGCAAUAAAAUCGAAGCCGCGCGCUGUAUGUGCGAGUGAAAGCGCGCGGGGGACGCCGCUUUCAUUGUUGUUUCUCUUGUUGUUUCUCCUUUGUUGUUGUUCAUUGUUGUUUCUCCUUUGUGGGCUUCUACUCUGCCAACAAAUGCAUUCGCGCUUGUGCCGGCUGUCGGUGUUGUCGGGCGCACCGUAUCUUGAAAGCGAUCUCCACAUGGCUCUGACCUUUGUAUGCACUGUGCUUACGCCGCUCAGUUUCCGUUGAAGCGAUAGACCACACGAACCUUCGCUCGCUGCGGCGGCCGCGUUUCCCCACACCCACGUUUUGACAGUGGUUGUCUGCGGUCAUCGAGUCUAUUCAUGUUUGCUUGUGCGCUUUGACACCACGCUUGUUAAUUCAGUUAGUAAGCGAAUGUAUCAAGUUUAUGCGGCCGAUGAAACUACUAUCCCUACUCCUUAUAGCUCUCUACUAAUUUGCUAUCGCAAUUGAUGGUUUGCCUUUCGGGCGAAACUGAGACAUUUUAAAAAAUUAUUACUUUGUCUGCUUCAUGCGAAGAUCGUGAGUACUUGGACAUUAACCUUUCAACGUUCGUAAAUUUAAACGGAUGCAAAACUCCCAGUCGCACGCUUCGAUUCUCGGAUAUGCACGGCUGCUUGGUCUAGAUGUUUUGCAUACGUGCAGGGCUUGAAAAUCGUUGUUUUUGUUAUAGUGUGGUACCGCUUAUAGUGCAGAUAUUCAUGACUCCGGCGACUUACGUUAUAAGCGGUCUACACUGUACUAAGACCUUUUGUUCUCCUCAUUGCCACCAGCUCUCGACUAAACAGCUAUAGUGCCACAACUGCCAUUCAAUUUUGCCAUUCCAUUCCAAUUGCUGGCUUAAAGAAAAAACAAAAGGCACUCUAUGUAGUAUACCAACAGUGUUAUUGCCUAGAGAGCAAUAACUGUGGCAAGUGACUACUCACAUUGCUUAGAUUUCUGUGACUAUUUUUUCAGUGUCAUUCUCUCUUCAAUCACCUGGAAUAACACAACCACACACUGGCGUUCAGACAAAAGAAGAUAUUUCUGAAUCAUCCGUUAAGGAGAAUACCAGCACUGGCAGUGGAGACACCAUACCGGAUGUGGCACCAGAAGGUGAUGCCAUCAUCAAGACCCAGUCCAAGAGCAAAGAGAGCUACAGGCCAAAUCAAAACCGAGGACCGUUUUCCUGUCAUUUGUGCCCCUGGACCUUCCCCUGCAACUCUGACUUCAUAGCGCACAUGCGCACGCAUACUGGAGAGAAGCCCUUCAAAUGCAGCGUCUGCUCCAGCAGCUUUGGCAGGAAGUCAGAUAUGUCAAGGCACAUGAUAGCUCACAGUCACACGGCUGAGAAACUCUUCAAGUGUACCGUCUGCUCAAGGUGCUUCGGCAGGCAGUCAAACCUGACAAAUCACAUGAUUAUUCAUCCACGUGAAAGGCCUUUUGUAUGUUCUGUUUGCCAAUCAAGGUUCAGCACCAAGCAGAAA